GAUGAACGCUGGCGGCGUGCCUAAUACAUGCAAGUCGAGCGAACGGACGAGAAGCUUGCUUCUCUGAUGUUAGCGGCGGACGGGUGAGUAACACGUGGAUAACCUACCUAUAAGACUGGGAUAACUUCGGGAAACCGGAGCUAAUACCGGAUAAUAUUUUGAACCGCAUGGUUCAAAAGUGAAAGACGGUCUUGCUGUCACUUAUAGAUGGAUCCGCGCUGCAUUAGCUAGUUGGUAAGGUAACGGCUUACCAAGGCAACGAUGCAUAGCCGACCUGAGAGGGUGAUCGGCCACACUGGAACUGAGACACGGUCCAGACUCCUACGGGAGGCAGCAGUAGGGAAUCUUCCGCAAUGGGCGAAAGCCUGACGGAGCAACGCCGCGUGAGUGAUGAAGGUCUUCGGAUCGUAAAACUCUGUUAUUAGGGAAGAACAUAUGUGUAAGUAACUGUGCACAUCUUGACGGUACCUAAUCAGAAAGCCACGGCUAACUACGUGCCAGCAGCCGCGGUAAUACGUAGGUGGCAAGCGUUAUCCGGAAUUAUUGGGCGUAAAGCGCGCGUAGGCGGUUUUUUAAGUCUGGUGUGAAAGCCCACGGCUCAACCGUGGAGGGUCAUUGGAAACUGGAAAACUUGAGUGCAGAAGAGGAAAGUGGAAUUCCAUGUGUAGCGGUGAAAUGCGCAGAGAUAUGGAGGAACACCAGUGGCGAAGGCGACUUUCUGGUCUGUAACUGACGCUGAUGUGCGAAAGCGUGGGGAUCAAACAGGAUUAGAUACCCUGGUAGUCCACGCCGUAAACGAUGAGUGCUAAGUGUUAGGGGGUUUCCGCCCCUUAGUGCUGCAGCUAACGCAUUAAGCACUCCGCCUGGGGAGUACGACCGCAAGGUUGAAACUCAAAGGAAUUGACGGGGACCCGCACAAGCGGUGGAGCAUGUGGUUUAAUUCGAAGCAACGCGAAGAACCUUACCAAAUCUUGACAUCCUUUGACAACUCUAGAGAUAGAGCCUUCCCCUUCGGGGGGGCAAAGUGACAGGUGGUGCAUGGUUGUCGUCAGCUCGUGUCGUGAGAUGUUGGGUUAAGCCCCGCAACGAGCGCAACCCUUAAGCUUAGUUGCCAUCAUUAAGUUGGGCACUCUAAGUUGACUGCCGGUGACAAACCGGAGGAAGGUGGGGAUGACGUCAAAUCAUCAUGCCCCUUAUGAUUUGGGCUACACACGUGCUACAAUGGACAAUACAAAGGGCAGCGAAACCGCGAGGUCAAGCAAAUCCCAUAAAGUUGUUCUCAGUUCGGAUUGUAGUCUGCAACUCGACUACAUGAAGCUGGAAUCGCUAGUAAUCGUAGAUCAGCAUGCUACGGUGAAUACGUUCCCGGGUCU
rnacentral:rRNA from 1 species